GACGAACCGUGCAAACGUUGUUCGGAAUCACUGGCUUAAAGGGCGCGUAGGCGGCUCGCCAAGUCGGGGGUGAAAUCUUUCGGCUCAACCGGAAAAGUGCCUUCGAUACUGGCGGGCUGGAGGGAGGUAGGGGCAUGUGGAACUUCCGGUGGAGCGGUGAAAUGCGUUGAUAUCGGAAGGAACGCCGGUGGCGAAAGCGACGUGCUGGACCUCUCUGACGCUGAGGCGCGAAAGCUAGGGGAGCGAACGGG
rnacentral:rRNA from 1 species